rnacentral:rRNA from 1 species
UACGUAGGGAGCAAGCGUUGUCCGGAUUUAUUGGGCGUAAAGAGCUCGUAGGCGGCUUAGCAAGUCAGGUGUGAAACCUCCAGGCUCAACCUGGAGACGCCACUUGAUACUGCUAUGGCUUGAGUUUGGUAGGGAAAGACGGAAUUCCUGGUGUAGCGGUGAAAUGCGCAGAUAUCAGAGAGGAACACCGAUGGCGAAGGCAGUCUUCUGGGCCAAAACUGACGCUGAGGAGCGAAAGCGUGGGGAGCGAACAGG